rnacentral:piRNA from 1 species
UGAUUAGACCUGUAAUCUUUAAAAGUGCUAUC